GAUGAACGCUGGCGGCGUGCCUAAUACAUGCAAGUCGAGCGAACAGAUGAGGAGCUUGCUCCUCUGACGUUAGCGGCGGACGGGUGAGUAACACGUGGAUAACCUACCUAUAAGACUGGGAUAACUUCGGGAAACCGGAGCUAAUACCGGAUAAUAUAUUGAACCGCAUGGUUCAAUAGUGAAAGACGGUUUUGCUGUCACUUAUAGAUGGAUCCGCGCCGCAUUAGCUAGUUGGUAAGGUAACGGCUUACCAAGGCAACGAUGCGUAGCCGACCUGAGAGGGUGAUCGGCCACACUGGAACUGAGACACGGUCCAGACUCCUACGGGAGGCAGCAGUAGGGAAUCUUCCGCAAUGGGCGAAAGCUUGACGGAGCAACGCCGCGUGAGUGAUGAAGGUCUUCGGAUCGUAAAACUCUGUUAUUAGGGAAGAACAAAUGUGUAAGUAACUAUGCACGUCUUGACGGUACCUAAUCAGAAAGCCACGGCUAACUUCGUG
rnacentral:rRNA from 1 species